AACGAACGCUGGCGGCAGGCUUAACACAUGCAAGUCGAGCGCCCCGCAAGGGGAGCGGCAGACGGGUGAGUAACGCGUGGGAACGUACCCUUUGCUACGGAAUAGCUCCGGGAAACUGGAAUUAAUACCGUAUGUGCCCUACGGGGGAAAGAUUUAUCGGCAAAGGAUCGGCCCGCGUUGGAUUAGCUAGUUGGUGGGGUAAUGGCCUACCAAGGCGACGAUCCAUAGCUGGUCUGAGAGGAUGAUCAGCCACAUUGGGACUGAGACACGGCCCAAACUCCUACGGGAGGCAGCAGUGGGGAAUAUUGGACAAUGGGCGCAAGCCUGAUCCAGCCAUGCCGCAUGAGUGAUGAAGGCCUUAGGGUUGUGAAGCUCUUUCGUCGGGGAAGAUAAUGACGGUACCCGAAGAAGAAGCCUCGGCUAACUCCGUGCCAGCAGCCGCGGUAAUAC
rnacentral:rRNA from 1 species